AGGAUCACAGAAGGUUGGAGACAUCUUUAUUUAUAAAGGGGGAACAGGUGAGGGGCCACUCAGUAGCUGUUGCUUCUUCCUUGCAGGUUGGGCUCCCAGUUGCUUCUUCCCUGCAGGUUGGGCUCCCAGGGGCUUCUGCUUCCUCUUGGCCCCAGCAACCACUGGCUGCAGCGAAUCCCACAACUCGUCGCUCUCUGCUUCUUCGGGAACUACUGGGGCAGGAUCUUUGGGCUCAUCCUGCUGUCCCUGCCUGACAAGAGGAGACAGUUCAGCCGUGACUUGAGAUAGACCUGAGGGAGACAAUUGGACGACCUCCUGAAGCUCCUCCAGCCAACUCACCCUGCCGGAGGUCAAUUUCUGCUAGCUGCCCAUGGGUGUUCCCCACGACCACGGAGCUGUGGAAAGGAACCCAAAGGGUAAUCAGGGAUCGAUCCACAUGAGCUGGCUUUGCCAUUUCCUGCCCCCCCAGAGCCCAGCCAGAUCCCCGCUCCCAUCACUCACUUGCCCC